UACAGUGGCGACCGGGUGAGUAACACGUGACUACCUACCCUUGAGUGGGGGAUAACCUCGGGAAACCGAGGCUAAUACCGCAUAAUAUCGAGAGAUCAAAGGAGCAAUUCGCUUUUGGAGGGGGUCGCGGCUGAUUAGCUAGUUGGUAGGGUAAUGGCCUACCAAGGCGAAGAUCGGUAUCCGGCCUGAGAGGGCGCACGGACACACUGGAACUGAGACACGGUCCAG
rnacentral:rRNA from 1 species